rnacentral:rRNA from 1 species
UACGUAGGGGGCAAGCGUUGUCCGGAUUUAUUGGGCGUAAAGAGCGUGUAGGCGGCCAUGUAGGUCCGUUGUGAAAACUCGAGGCUCAACCUCGAGACGCCGAUGGAAACCAUGUGGCUAGAGUCCGGAAGAGGAGAGUGGAAUUCCUGGUGUAGCGGUGAAAUGCGCAGAUAUCAGGAGGAACACCAAUAGCGAAGGCAGCUCGCUGGGACGGUACUGACGCUAAGGCGCGAAAGCGUGGGGAGCAAACAGG